AUGUCCUUACUCUUUCCCCUGUUUUCUCAUCAAUUGGAGUAAGGAAAAUUUACAAGAAAAAACAUGUUUUUCUUCAACAAAUUUUGUAUAAUUCCCCAAGAAUUUCAAAUAUCCCACAAAAUAAGAACGAUCAACAAGAUGAUCAGAGCAGGAGGGAGUGGAAGACGUAGUUUUAUUUGAAGAUUAUAAAGAUGUUUGCUUGAUUGGUUAAAGGGAGAGAUGCUGAUCAUUAUUCACGGAGAUGAAUCGAGUGUAACGGCGGG